rnacentral:misc_RNA from 1 species
AUCAAGAUUUCAAACCGAUAAUUCCCACUUCAAAAAUAAGAAGGUGGCAGAGAAACAAAGGUUAUAAAUAACAAAACAGUAGUCUUAUGUACGCAAUUUAGGAUCCAUACCUCAAGGGAGUGACAUGAGGAUCUAAGGGAUUUAGGAGCAACCAAAGAGAAGUUGAAAUAAAUUUCGACUUCAUGUAGAGCUCGACUAGACCUAGGAUCAACUCAUGAUUCCCGAACGAAUAAGGUCCUUAACUCAUCAUUUCAGAUCAUUCCAAAUAAAACAUACAUGUAACUAGUGAUCAUCUCAUCUUAAACAAUCAAUUUGACCAAAAAAAAAGCUCAUUCAAGUUGAGGAAAGCUCUACUCAAAGCAUCAUAAUUCAUCAAACCUUUAUACCAACAAAUUGAUUAAUUAUACCUCAAUACCGUCGACCACAAUGACAUCAAAUAAUGACAACAAAAUAGAGGAGGCAUCUGA